UGGGGGAUAUUGCACAAUGGGCGAAAGCCUGAUGCAGCGACGCCGCGUGGGGGAUGAAGGCCUUCGGGUUGUAAACUUCUUUUGCUCUGAACAAGGCGCACCAUGGGGUGUGUUGAGUGUAGGGGUUGAUUAGCGCCGGCUAACUACGUGCCAGCAGCCGCGGUAAUACGUAGGGCGCGAGCGUUGUCCGGAAUUAUUGGGCGUAAAGGGCUUGUAGGUGGCUGGUUGCGUCUGUCGUGAAAGCUCAUGGCUUAACUGUGGGUUUGCGGUGGGUGCUGGCUGGCUUGAGUGCAGUAGGGGAGGCUGGAAUUCCUGGUGUAUCGGUGGAAUGCGCAGAUAUCAGGAGGCGUACCGGUGGCGAAGGCUGGUCUCUGGGCUGUUGCUGACACUGAGGAGCGAAAGCAUGGGGAGCGAACAGG
rnacentral:rRNA from 1 species